GAUUCUGGGCGUAAGCGCGCGCAGGCGGUCUGUCAAGUCGGAUGUGAAAUCCCCGGGCUCAACCUGGGAACUGCAUUCGAAACUGGCAGGCUAGAGUCUUGUAGAGGGGGGUAGAAUUCCAGGUGUAGCGGUGAAAUGCGUAGAGAUCUGGAGGAAUACCGGUGGCGAAGGCGGCCCCCUGGACUGAGACUGACGCUCAGGUGCGAAAGCGUGGGGAGCAAACAGGAUUAGAUACCCUGGUAGUCCACGCCGUAAACGAUGUCGAUUUGGAGGUUGUGCCCUUGAGGCGUGGCUGCCGGAGCUAACGCGUUAAAUCGACCGCCUGGGGAGUACGGCCGCAAGGUUAAAACUCAAAUGAAUUGACGGGGGCCCGCACAAGCGGUGGAGCAUGUGGUUUAAUUCGAUGCAACGCGAAGAACCUUACCUGGUCUUGACAUCCAGAGAACUUUCCAGAGAUGCAUUGGUGCCUUCGGGAACUGUGACACAGGUGCUGCAUGGCUGUCGUCAGCUCGUGUCGUGAAAUGUUGGGUUAAGUCCCGCAACGAGCGCAACCCUUGUCCUUUGUUGCCAGC
rnacentral:rRNA from 1 species